rnacentral:ncRNA from 1 species
AAACUUGAGAGUUUGAUCCUGGCUCAGAGUGAACGCUAGCGGCAUGCUUUACACAUGCAAGUCGAACGAACUUUUAAACUAGCUUGCUAGUUUAAAAGUUAGUGGCAGACGGGUGAGUAACGCGUGGGAAUUUUCCCUAUAGUACGGAAUAACUGUUGGAAACGACAGCUAAUACCGUAUAUUCUCUGCGGAGGAAAGAUUUAUCGCUAUAGGAUAAGCCCGCGUUAGAUUAGGUAGUUGGUAGGGUAAUGGCCUACCAAGCCGAUGAUCUAUAGCUGGUCUGAGAGGA